rnacentral:pre_miRNA from 1 species
GGUCAUAUUUUUCCACAGCUUUCUUGAACUUUCUUUUUCAUUUCCAUUUUGUUAUUGAACCAAAACAACUGAAAAUAUAUAACAUCUAACAUUCUGGAAAAAAAAAAGAAGCUCAAGAAAGCUGUGGGAAAACAUGACAA